UGGCUCAGUUGGUAAAGCAUCGCACUUGUAAUGCCAGGAUUGUGGGUUUGAUUCCCAU
rnacentral:tRNA from 1 species